GGGGGAUUAGCUCAGUUGGUAGAGCACCGGCUUUGCAAGCCGGGGGUCAGGGGUUCGAGCCCCCUAUCCUCCA
rnacentral:tRNA from 1 species